GAUGAACGCUAGCGACAGGCCUAACACAUGCAAGUCGAGGGGCAGCAUUAUUAAAGCUUGCUUAAUAGAUGGCGACCGGCGCACGGGUGCGUAACGCGUAUGCAACCUACCCAUUACAGGAGGAUAGCCCAGAGAAAUUUGGAUUAAUACUCCAUAGUAUUUACUGAAAGCAUUUUUAGUAUUUUAAAAGAUUCGUCUGGUAAUGGAUGGGCAUGCGUAUGAUUAGUUAGUUGGUGGGGUAACGGCCUACCAAGACGACGAUCAUUAGGGGUUCUGAGAGGAUAGUCCCCCACACUGGUACUGAGAUACGGACCAGACUCCUACGGGAGGCAGCAGUGAGGAAUAUUGGUCAAUGGGCGAGAGCCUGAACCAGCCAAGUCGCGUGCAGGACGACUGCCCUAUGGGUUGUAAACUGCUUUUAUAUAGGAAUAAUUGUUUUUACGUGUAAGAAUUUGAAUGUACUAUAUGAAUAAGCACCGGCUAACUCCGUGCCAGCAGCCGCGGUAAUACGGAGGGUGCAAGCGUUAUCCGGAUUUAUUGGGUUUAAAGGGUGCGUAGGCGGGUUCAUAAGUCAGUGGUGAAAGUCUGUCGCUUAACGAUAGAAUUGCCAUUGAAACUGUGGAUCUUGAAUACAGUAGAGGUAGGCGGAAUAUAUUGUGUAGCGGUGAAAUGCAUAGAUACGAUAUAGAACACCUAUUGCGAAGGCAGCUUACGAUGCUGUAAUUGACGCUGAUGCACGAAAGCGUGGGGAGCGAACAGG
rnacentral:rRNA from 1 species